rnacentral:rRNA from 1 species
UUGAUCCUGGCUCAGAACGAACGCUUUGGCGGCGCGUUUUAAGCAUGCAAGUCGAACGGUAGAGAGAUGCUUGCAUCUCUUGAGAGUGGCGAACGGGUGAGUAACACGUAGGUGAUCUACCGCAGGGGUUGGGGAUAGCCCAUGGAAACAUGGGGUAAUACCGAAUACGUUGGGUCCGCUUUGGCGGACUCAAGAAAGGCGCUUCGGCGUCGCCCUGCGAUGAGCCUGCGCCCCAUUAGCUAGUUGGUAGGGUAAAGGCCUACCAAGGCGACGAUGGGUAGCCGGCCUGAGAGGGUGAUCGGCCACACUGGGACUGAGAUACGGCCCAGACUCCUACGGGAGGCAGCAGCUAAGAAUCUUCCGCAAUGGACGAAAGUCUGACGGAGCGACGCCGCGUGGGUGAAGAAGGCCGGAAGGUUGUAAAGCCCUUUUCUUGUUGAGGAAUAAGCACAGGAGGGAAUGCCUGUGCGAUGACGGUAGGCGAGGAAUAAGUCCCGGCCAAUUACGUGCCAGCAGCCGCGGUAACACGUAUGGGACGAGCGUUGUUCGGAAUCAUUGGGCGUAAAGGGCGCGUAGGCGGCGAGGUAAGCCUGGUGUGAAAGACCGCAGCUUAUCUGCGGGAAGCGCGCUGGUAACUGCUUUGCUUGAGUUCAGGAGGGGGAGCUGGAAUUCCAGGUGUAAGGGGUGAAAUCUGUAUAUAUCUGGAAGAACACCGGCGUCGAAUGCUAGCUCCUGGCCCAUGAACGGACGCUGAGGCGCGAAAACGUGGGGAGCGAACAGGAUUAGAAACCCCGGUAGUCCCCGCUGUAAACGAAGUGCACUAGGUGAUGGGCCACGAAGGUUCAGUGCCGGAGUUAAACGCGUUAAGUGCCACCGCCUGGGGAGUAUGCUCGCAAGGGGGAAACUCAAAAGGAACUGACGGGGGCCCGCACAAGCGGUGGAGCACGUGGUGUAAUUGGAUGAUACGCGAGGAACCUUACCAGGGUGUGACAUAUGCCGGAAUGUGCAGGAGACCGCGCAGCCCUUCGGGGCCGGUACACAGGUCCGGCAUGGCCGUCGUCAGCUCGCACCGUGAGCAGGUCGGCUACAUCCCGCCACGAGCGCAAUGGGUAACGUCGCAUCGAACCAGGUAAUACUGAUGAUUCCGGCGGAACUGCCGGUGCCUCAGCCGGAGGAAGGGCGACACGCGGACAAAGGGAUCACGGCACAAUUAACUCGUGGGGCUAUCUCCCGUGGCUACACACCGGGCGGCACAAAGCGAAUCAGAAACCACGAGGUGGACGCAAAUCGCAGAAAGCUGGUCUCAGUUCGGAUCGGAGUCUGAAACCCGACUCCGUGAAGGUGGAAUCGCUAGUAAUCACGCAUCAGCAUGGCGCGGUGAAUAC